UACGUAGGGCGCAAGCGUUGUCCGGAAUUAUUGGGCGUAAAGAGCUCGUAGGCGGUCUGUCGCGUCGGCUGUGAAAUCCCGGAGCUCAACUCCGGGCCUGCAGUCGAUACGGGCAGACUGGAGUUCGGCAGGGGAGACUGGAAUUCCUGGUGUAGCGGUGAAAUGCGCAGAUAUCAGGAGGAACACCGGUGGCGAAGGCGGGGUCUCUGGGCAGUAACUGACGCUGAGGAGCGAAAGCGUGGGGAGCGAACAGG
rnacentral:rRNA from 1 species